UGUUUCUGGAGGCCAGCUUUACUGGGCUAGAGGAAGAGGGUCCCCACAUCCGGCCCUCGCCCUCCUGGUCCGGUUUGCUGAAGCAACGCACUUGGCCUACCCACUGGGUGGGGCAGGAAGUCUCGAGCCUUCCCUUGGGGCCCUGACCCGGAACUGUGGCCCAUGGGCAGAGAUAGUCCCUCACCUUGUGGAAGAACACUGUCUCCAAGAGGUUGAUGAUGGAGGCCUCGUGGUGCACCUGUCAGAAAAAGAGAAGGACAGGGCCUGAGGAAGGGAUAGGGGCUACCAGCUCUCCUCCCCGGUCCAGAGCCCUCUGAAGGAGUGAGAAGAGCUCCUGAAUGGGCUCGCCCUGGCUGACUGUGGCAUCGAGGAUGGCUUGCAUGUUCAGCUUCUCCAGGUUCUCAUGCUGCUGGUUCCACCUGCCUCAGAGGGUCCUGCCCACCAGAUGGCGAUCUAGCCCACGGCUCGUGGCUAUUUCAUUCACUGCUGGGUCUCCCACGGCUGGCCCAGAAACAGCACUCAAUAAAGGCUGUUUGAAAUGGAUUUCUUUAUUUACAGAA